AGCCGCACUGACCCAAGUCUGUACAUCGCUCAUGUAGAGCUCAUAGUUCGAGCCACUUAGCUGACCCAUCUCACCAAUGGAUUUCCUAAGCUCCUCCAACGUGUCACCUAACUCCUCGACGCAGUCUCUCAUGGCCGAGGCUUCUCUCGGCUUGAGCGGACUAGUUCUCGAGAGACGCACCAUCAUUACUGAAGUGGCUUUAGCCGAGGCUAAUGUGAUGUUGAGAGCCGCGUGAGCCAUUAGCUUGGGGCUUGUUUGGAUGAGACUGGCUUGAGUAGAGAGUGAAGCGACGCAUAGUCUUUGAUAUUGUGUGAAAUUGCAUGACGAUUUUACAAACUCUGUGUUUGUUGUUGUUGU
rnacentral:lncRNA from 1 species